GAAAAAUAUUUACUGUUUCUUGUGUGUCCUUAGCUAGUUGCUCUUCAGAUUCUUUCUUGGCCUGCCUUAUACUUUUAUAUUUGAUUUGCCAGAGUUUAUGCUCCUUUCAAUUUUCCUCACUAGGAUUUGGCUUCCAAUUUUUGAAGGAUAUC